CCCGGUGACAGGUGCUGCAUGGCUGUCGUCAGCUCGUGUCGUGAGAUGUGGUUAAGUCCCGCAACGAGCGCAACCCUCGCCUUUAGUUGCCAGCAUUCAGUUGGGCACUCUAAAGGGACUGCCGGUGUCAAACCGGAGGAAGGUGGGGAUGACGUCAAGUCCUCAUGGCCUUUAUGUCUAGGGCUACACACGUACUACAAUGGCAGGUACAAAGGGCAGCGACACAGCGAUGUGAUGCGAAUCCCGAAAAGCCUGUCUCAGUCCGGAUCGGAGUCUGCAACUCGACUCCGUGAAGUUGGAAUCGCUAGUAAUCGUGGAUCAGCAUGCCACGGUGAAUACGUUCCCGGGCCUU
rnacentral:rRNA from 1 species